ACUCAAAUGAAUUGACGGGGACCCGCACAAGCAGAGGAUGAUGUGGUUUAAUAUGACGCUACGCGUAGAACCUUACCAAGGCUUGACAUCCUGGGAACCUUCUGGAAACAGAGGGGUGCCUUCGGGAGCCUAGUGACAGGUGCUGCAUGGCCGUCGUCAGCUCGUGUCGUGAGAUGUUGGGUUAAGUCCCGCAACGAGCGCAACCCUUAUCGUAUGUUGUAUUUUUCAUGCGAGACUGCCCGGGCCAACCGGGAGGAAGGUGGGGAUGACGUCAGGUCGGCAUGGCCCUUACGCCUUGGGCUACUCACGUCAUACAAUGGCCAGUACAACGCGCAGCGAAACCGCGAGGUGGAGCAAAUCGCAUCAAAACUGGUCUCAGUUCGGAUUGGAGGCUGCAACUCGCCUCCAUGAAGUCGGAUUUGCUAGUAAACGUGGGUCAGCAUACCACGUUGAAUACGUUCCCGGGUCUUGUACACACCGCCCGU
rnacentral:rRNA from 1 species